rnacentral:rRNA from 1 species
UACGGGGGGAGCAAGCGUUGUUCGGAUUUACUGGGCGUAAAGGGCGCGUAGGCGGUCAGCACAAGUCAGUUGUGAAAUCUCCGAGCUUAACUCGGAAAGGUCAACUGAUACUGUGCGACUAGAGUGCGGAAGGGGCAACUGGAAUUCUUGGCGUAGCGGUGAAAUGCGUAGAUAUCAAGAGGAACACCUGCGGCGAAGGCGGGUUGCUGGGCCGACACUGACGCUGAAGCGCGAAAGCCAGGGAGCGAACGGG